CCUACGGGAGGCAGCAGUGAGGAAUCUUGCGCAAUGGGGGAAACCCUGACGCAGCAACGCCGCGUGAGUGAGGAAGGUCUUCGGAUCGUAAAGCUCUGUCAGUUGGAAAGAAACGCCUGUAUGUUAAUACCAUGCAGGUUUGACGGUACCAACAGAGGAAGCACCGGCUAACUCCGUGCCAGCAGCCGCGGUAAUACGGGGGGUGCAAGCGUUGUUCGGAAUUAUUGGGCGUAAAGAGCGUGUAGGCGGCCUGAUGUGUCAGAUGUGAAAGCCCUGGGCUUAACCCAGGAAGUGCAUUUGAAACUGUCAGGCUUGAGUAGGGGAGGGGGAAGUGGAAUUCCUGGUGUAGAGGUGAAAUUCGUAGAUAUCAGGAGGAACACCGGUGGCGAAGGCGACUUCCUGGCCCUAUACUGACGCUGAGACGCGAGAGCGUGGGUAGCAAACAGGAUUAGAUACCCCUGUAGUC
rnacentral:rRNA from 1 species